rnacentral:rRNA from 1 species
GAUGAACGCUGGCGGCGUGCCUAAUACAUGCAAGUCGAGCGAACGGACGAGAAGCUUGCUUCUCUGAUGUUAGCGGCGGACGGGUGAGUAACACGUGGAUAACCUACCUAUAAGACUGGGAUAACUUCGGGAAACCGGAGCUAAUACCGGAUAAUAUUUUGAACCGCAUGGUUCAAAAGUGAAAGACGGUCUUGCUGUCACUUAUAGAUGGAUCCGCGCUGCAUUAGCUAGUUGGUAAGGUAACGGCUUACCAAGGCAACGAUGCAUAGCCGACCUGAGAGGGUGAUCGGCCACACUGGAACUGAGACACGGUCCAGACUCCUACGGGAGGCAGCAGUAGGGAGUCUUCCGCAAUGGGCGAAAGCCUGACGGAGCAACGCCGCGUGAGUGAUGAAGGUCUUCGGAUCGUAAAACUCUGUUAUUAGGGAAGAACAUAUGUGUAAGUAACUGUGCACAUCUUGACGGUACCUAAUCAGAAAGCCUCGGCUAACUACGUG